GGUUAAUAUCUCGCAUCCACCAUCGCUACGGUGAGGAGGCUCCCACAUGAAAGUCAAUGCAACCUAAGAAAUCUGCAGUAAGUUCUUUCCAUUGCCCUGGAAGCCACCAGUCAAUCAAAUAAAGAAACCCCCUCAUCGCAAUCCCCAAUUGAUCCAAAAAUUGAACGCCCAAAUGGCCCAAAUCCAAAGACCCAAAAGCUUUCUUGAUUCUUUAGGAGAAGAAAUAAUCAGAAUCAUAACACCAGUAUCAAUCUGCAUGUUCAUUGUGGUGAUUCUAGUCUCAAUUCUCAACACAGACUCCUCAUCGGCAUCAACAACAAUAAACAACAUAGCUACCAUGGCUUACACUGAGACAACCUCCGACUCCUUCUGGGAUAAGCUCAAAGGUGCCCUUUUGAAUUCUCUUGUGUUUGUGGCUAUUGUCACUGUUGUUACUUUUGUUCUGGUGCUUCUUUUUUACCUUAGAUGCACUCAGUUCUUGAAACUAUACAUGGGUUUCUCUUCUUUUAUUGUUUUGGGAUUCAUGGGUGGUGAAAUUGCCUUGUUCUUGAUAAGAGAUUUUAGUGUUCCUAUCGAUUGUUUCACGUUUUUGGUGGUUUUGUUCAACUUUGCUGCUGUGGGUGUAUUGGCUGUGUUCAUGUCAAAAAUGGCUAUAUUUGUGACACAGGCUUAUUUGGUUGUCAUUGGGGUUUUGGUUGCUUAUUGGUUUACUCUUUUGCCUGAAUGGACUACUUGGGCACUAUUGGUUGCCAUGGCAUUGUAUGAUCUUGCUGCUGUUUUAUUGCCUAUUGGGCCAUUGAGGCUCUUGGUAGAGCUUGCAAUAUCUAGGGAUGAAGAUAUCCCUGCAUUGGUUUAUGAGGCUCGGCCUGUGACUAAUCAUCAUUCAGGCUCUAGGGAUGGUGUAGCUCAAAGGAGGCUGUGGAGAGAAAGGAGAAAUGUGGGAAAUGAUUCUGAAGAGAAUUUGAAUUCUGAAUCUAGUUUGGAUUCGAACUUGACUAAUGGUACAGUUGAUGGUGGUCAUCACACUACAAGAUUAGCUAGAGCUGAAGAAGGGCAACUUCUGGAAAGGGAUGCCGAGCUUUCAGCACCAUUAAUUGAUCGUAGGAGUAGUGUUCAGGUUCAUGGACAGGGAGAUGCUGUAUCAAGCGAAAGUUUGCUGCUAGAGGGCAUUGGGUUGGGGUCAACCGGUGCCAUCAAGCUCGGGCUGGGGGACUUUAUCUUCUAUAGUGUGUUAGUUGGAAGAGCGGCAAUGUAUGACUUUAUGACUGUUUAUGCAUGUUAUCUUGCUAUAAUAGCUGGUUUGGGCAUUACGCUGAUGCUAUUGGCAUUUUAUCAGAAAGCUUUGCCAGCUCUUCCCGUUUCAGUUGCCCUAGGUGUGCUAUUCUAUUUCUUGACUAGGCUGUUACUUGAAGCUUUUGUUGUACAAUGUUCUUUGAACCUUGUGAUGUUUUAGGAAUAAGAAUAAUAAGAUAUUGCAGUUUAAUACUUUGCUGCCCAAAGAAGGUUCAGAGUUUGAAAUUCAUCAUAUAUUGUUGUAAUUUAAAUGCUUUUGCUAAGUAUUGCAUAUUUUGAAUUUAUCAUUCAUGUGAGAAUUAGUGUAAAAUGUUGUAGAAACACGAAGAAGUGAUCAACUUAAAUAAGUUAUUGCUUGUAUUGAGUCUGUGAAUCAAUCGAUUGAGGUUUGUUUUUUUAUCUUAAAGGAAUGGAUUCUUCAGGUGAAGUUAUCUAAAUAAAUAAAAAUGAGACUAUUAAUAAGCACAAAAAGACCAAUACACACCAAAAGGGCAGGGGUAAAAAGGUGAAGAGAAAACAGGUAUUUAAAGUUAGAUAUCGUAUCAGAAGGAACUCUGAAGAGCAUGCACGUGAGACAUUGUUGAAAAUUGGAAGACUGUUGA
rnacentral:misc_RNA from 1 species